rnacentral:rRNA from 1 species
AUGUCGAGUAGCAUCGACAACACCCAUGCUUCAAGCGAUGUAUCUUCAUCAGAGUCUGACAACCCUAGGUCUCCAGCAGAUGGUGAGGAAUCAAGUAAUCUGAAACGGGAUAGAGUCGUAGCAAUUACCCUUCCGGUCAGUACACGGAGGAACGCUCCAAAGAAGCCCACACACCAGCCUAAAGGUGUAUAUGAAGUAACCAACAUUGAUUUAAAGUCUUGGGCUCCAACUAAACCAGAUAAAGCACACACGAGGUUCAGGAGUAUGUGUGGAUUUGUUGGCAGGGCAAGGCUCAACAUUAAUCUGCUGGGGUUUCGGAAGGCUGGCAUAGAAACACGGCAAAGGAUAGUCCAGGAGAUCAUGGAUCACCUCAAUGUUCCAAAGCAGUGGAGAAUGCAGAAGUACUUGAGUGAAGGCAAGGACCCAAUCCAUGCAUACCCCCAAAUUACAAAGGCAGACUGGGUAGAAUUCAAAAGGGUCAGGGCAACUACAGAGUUUACUGAGAAGAGUGCCAAGCAAUCGGAACUUCAGAAGAGGAACACGCACACCCACUAUAUGGGUGUCGCAGGAUACUACGGCAUGAAACCGAUAUGGGACCAGGAGGACAAAGAAGCAUUAGUUACUACUUGCAGGCAUGUGCAAGGAGGCAUGAUGAAGGAACUUAUUACUUUGAAAACUCACGUGACGAAGACGGAAGAACUAUAUCGGGUGGUGUUAAAGGCUUCCAAGAUCCCUGGAAGGUUCUACAGGAACUCAGGGCCAUGUGACAUUCUAUUCGAUGCUCUGAAAACAAGAGAGCCCCCUGGUCGUGCAAGGGGUAUAGGUGUCAAUGUCCCGCACAAGAGGGCUUUCACACUCAGCAAAGAAGAGAUGCUCAGCAUGAAAAAAGCGAGGAGUGAAAUGAAGCAGAAUGAAUUGUAUGAAAGGUUGGCAAAGGACAUGUAUCCGACAGUUCAAAAGGAAAUUGAGGAGUCAAUGAUGAUGCAGAAGACUCUAACACUAAUAGAUAGCCAGCAUAUUGAAGGGGAGGUGGGCAUGAAGGAUGCUGGUCAUUGCGCGACAACACUACACAAGAGUAGCUGUGCAUCAGCUGACCCCAGACACUGA